rnacentral:rRNA from 1 species
UGCGUCCCAUUAGCUAGAUGGUAAGGUAACGGCUUACCAUGGCUACGAUGGGUAGGGGUCCUGAGAGGGAGAUCCCCCACACUGGUACUGAGACACGGACCAGACUCCUACGGGAGGCAGCAGUGAGGAAUAUUGGACAAUGGGCGCAAGCCUGAUCCAGCCAUGCCGCGUGCAGGAAGAAGGUCCUAUGGAUUGUAAACUGCUUUUAUACAGGAAGAAACACUCCCUCGUGAGGGAACUUGACGGUACUGUAAGAAUAAGGAUCGGCUAACUCCGUG